CGGACUACCUCGGGGUGCCCUUGACGGGCUGAGAUGCGAUGCGAACCCGUAGAACCUGAACCGGUUAGGACCGGCGGAGGGAAGGUCAGCCAUUCCUCG
rnacentral:ncRNA from 2 species